ensembl:lncRNA
GAUGGAGAAAAGGGAGAGGAGAAGCUAGAUCAGAUUUGAUUUUAAAAAUAAUAUUGUCAGAUAUUCAAUUCAGUGCAGAAGGAGCAGACAUGAGAGACUCUUUUUGAGUAAAUUGCUGCUUAGUAUCCAGGAAGUUUCAUGUGUUGGUCGAUGGGAUUCACACUACGUUCUGAGAAAUAACCUGCCAGGAAUGAUAGAAUGAGUUCUGGAAUCACACAACAAAAAUGAGCAUGUCUGCCAGCACUAUGACCCUUGGCGCAGAGUGAGGAACAUCAAAGAAAAAAGUGAGCAGAUCAAGUCUCAGAUUACUACUACGCUCUUGCUAUAUGAGUAGCCUGUCCACACUGCCAUAUUGUGUUUGCUGUAAGGUGCUGCUAACCCAGCAGUUGCAACACACUACACCAGUCCAAAAGGGAGAUAGAAGCUGCUGCACUUUUUCCCUGGACAAGAAUGAUGGUUUCUCAAAGAGAGUCCAGAAGUCAUCUUUGGAGUCUGGAUGCUCUCUCUUCUUCAGAGUGUGUCUGCUAUAGAACGAGCAUCCACACAGCCCUCUUCCUCUGCUGCUGCCUGUGAGAUGAAGGAAAAAAAUGGCACCCAUUGACUUUCAUCGAGGCUUGCUGAACGUUUCUGGAGACCAAACAUUGGAUGUGAGCACAAGAGGAUGCCAUACAGAAUGAAGUGCAGAGGUGAACUGUAGGCUUCCAGCAAGUUACCACUGCCAAGGAGGGUGCAAAGACAAGCAGCUUGCUUCUGGGUGAGUAAGUGCUUAUCUUUGUCUGGGUCUUGCUGGAUUUUAUUGCUAAGGUUCAUAUGCAUUUAGAUUGCAGUCACCUGGUCAUCAACUGUGGAGACUUACUUAACACUUUUCACCCAGAUAAACCAUGAAAACAUAUUACUUUAUUUCAUCAGUAAUAUUUGUUUCUGCCCUGAGGUGCCCCAGGUAACUAAUGUUUGUCACCUUGACCCCUAAAUAUAUGUUUGGUAUAUUAAGUAUUAUAUAUAUUUUUAAUCAAUAGAGUUCAUCACAAUUCUUUCAUUAUUCAGAGAGAGAUGAGCAAAGUACUUUUGUUAGAACAAAUGUAUUCCUGUAUUCCUGUUUCUGUCUGUGCCAGGAUUAAAUGUGAAUCAAAACAAAGUAGAUACGCUGCAGUCAUUCCCUGCUGAGACUUCCUGCAUUUUUAAUCAUUAUUUGUUGGUGUUACUGUAUUUCUGUAACCCUCAGGAGUAGUGAAGCCUUCAGUGUAUGAAUUCAUUUCAUUAACUACAUUCAAACUGGAUCUAUAGGAACUGGCUCUGUACUCAGUACUGACUUCUGUGGGACAGGAUUAUAACUGUCAAGGUAGCUACACCUAUGAAUUAAACAGAAGUAUGUGCAAAGCAUAGGUCAGUACUGAGCCUCCAUCCCAUGCGUGCUCUCCCACUGAGAUCAGUGAGACUAGUGGUUAGGAGAAGAUAGAUGUGGAGGUCUGUAGGCUCAGUUAGUCUCUAAUGAAAUGUGUCUGAACCUGGAAAAGUGGGAUUGAAGAGGUCAGAAUCUACUCACUUGUAAGAUCAGUGAAGUUGAGAAUUUGGCUCAUAGUUCAUUGAAAAGGUAUCAGUAAGGUUAAAGCAAAACAUAAGAGAAAUCUUGUUUGCUCUGCUCCCUCGUUCAACAUAUAAACAGUACUGUCAGAAAUCUUGAAGGGAGCCCUGCAGACUUUUCCUGGAAAGCAUCAUUGGCAGAAAAAUAAUUUUCAGCAGAACUCAACAAAGGAGGGAAAAAAAAAAAAAAAAAAGCAGUAUAAAUCAGCUAGCAAGUUGACCCAUGGGCAGCCAAACCAAAGCAGCUUCAUUUCCUAUGGAUUUCUGUCUCCUCAGCUUUGUCAUCUGCUUCCCAGUCCUCCACUACCACCAGCCCUGCCGGUCUUCAGGACCUGGCAGGGAGGGCCACCUGCAUGGCCAGGCCAGUGCUGCAGGCCCUGUCACGGGCCAGAGAGCGCUGCCAGUGUGUCUUGGCCAUGGCUGCAGGGCUGGCCUGCUUUCCUCUCCCUGGAGCAUAUUUGGCUCUUUUGAUGUCCCUGGUUUGCACAGGGUUUAUAAGGGUCUGCGGGUCAUAGAGUCAUCUCUGUCCUUCUGUGAGAUUUAGUUAAAACUGAGGGGAAAGAGCAAGCAAAUGAUAGACAAACAUUUGCAGAACACAGUGCUGUUGUAACCUCAUUUCCCUGAGGAAUUAUAUACUUUUGUGAGCACUUGGUAUUUUUAGAGGUUAGAUUUUUAAAAACAAGCAAAAAGAUGCUUAGAACAAAUGCCAGAGAGAUGGCUCCAUGAGUUCUCUGGGGAAAUAGCCACAAAGCCAUUCCAGAUGACCAUAUCCCACAAAAUAUACAUGCUAACAUGGGUUAGGUACGCUGCAUACAAGAUGCUGAGGCCCAAAAGCUCAGGAUCCCUGCAGCAAGCAAGCCUUCCUGCCAUGUGCAGCCAUCCCCAGGACUGCCACCUCUAUGCCACCAAGGCCAACGUGUGUUUGAAAGAGAAUUUGAAACCGAAGAGGUGAGUACAAAAUAAAAGAAGUCACAGCUCCUCCCUGGAAAUGGCGCUGCUGGUGUCGGUGGACACCACUAGGUCACUCCAGCACUUCUGAGCUGGGGAUUUCUGUUUAAUAAUAUACGGCAGAUUACUUCUAUAAUGACCUAUUAAAAUUCUAAGAUUAACUCAACUGCCGCUACAGUAUCUUCAAUGUCCUGCAGCAUAAUUGGCAGAGCAAGCAUAUGCUUUUUGUUUUCUUUAUUCUGGUUUGCUUGCUUGCUUGUCACUUAGGUUUUCCCAGCAGUGUUUGUCUUGUGCUGGCCCCACCCAGAAAGAAAUGUUGGGCUGGGAAGUAAAUGAGGCACAAAGAUAGUGUCAACAUAGAUAACAAUGAGAGGGUUUUAGGUCUGUGGUUUAUAAGGAAGAAAUAAAGAAAUUUUGUGUCCUUUGAAAAUUUCUAGCUUUCAUUAAACAAAAUACAAAUGAAAUGAUUGUAUUUUUAUUCCAAUCCAAUAAGCGACGAGUAGCUUGUUUUGCUCAGUUCUGAAAUUCAUAAAGAUAUAACUGAAAAGACUGAUUUUUGCUAACAUUCAAAUAUUAAAUGAGCAUCAGAACUUCCAUUUGGGUUCAUAAGCAAUAACGUGUGUGUUUCUUUUUCUCUGUUUUACAUUUCCCUCAUGUGCAUCACGUGAGAGUGUUACUUUUUCAAAGAACGAAUCUUUAGUACUGUGUAGUCUGGACAAAUUUAACCAAUGAAUUACGCAUGUGGGUAGUCCUUGCUCGUUAUACAGUUCUUGGUAUUUCUCUUUUAAUUUUUCCCUAUUCAAUGUACACAUCUCUCAAAGCUUGAAAACUUUAGAAAGGACAAAAAGUAACUUAAUAACUUUUUAGCAUUUUAGAAAUGCUAUAUUGGACCAAGUGUUGACCUUCCCUUUCUUUUAUCAUAUCCGGGCUAAGAGAAAUAUUUCUAGCAGUGGUUAAGAUAUUGCAAUUGUCAAACAGUGUCCAGAAUCCAUAGCAAUGAGUAGCCAGUGCAAAUGAUAAAUGAAAUUUUUAUCCAAGCUGUGUGAUUCACAACUCUCAAUAGUCAGCAAAGCUGGAGUUCCCUCAUGUUGUAUCUCAGAGCUGUAAAACAUGGUCUUGUCUGACUGUUGUGCCAAUUCUGAUACAUAUAUUUAUCUAGCACUACUUGCUUCUUGUCUUCAUCACCAUUGUCCCUCUGACUAUGUGAAUUUUCAGCCCACUGAGCUUGACUGAGCUGCAUUUUUGGAGUGAGUUUCUUCUAAGAUACCUGCAACUUGCUCCUCUUGCUUGAGCAUCCUAGAAAUGUUGGGGACUUCUUGACUUUAGGAGAUUUACAACUGAGCACUCAGAGCAUCUGAUUCUGAUUUUCCCCACUGACGAGACCCCCGAUACUGAACUUAUUCUUGUGCAAAAGGUGCAAUAAGGACACCUUUCUUCGCUGAAGGAAGCUGAAGUGAGUGUUGAUGGAAAUACUGCUGAUAAAAAUGUGUAUUGAAAAUAGACAAGCGGAUGUUAAGUACAAAAAAGAAGAUACUUGGAUUUGAUGGCUGAGCAUGAAUGGCUGCAUACAGAUACAAAAGACAAGACAGAUAAGAGAAAACAAGAAGAAAAAACACUGUGAAAAAAUAACAACUUACAGUACACAAAGCAUCCUCUGCUUUCUUGAAGACAAUGUACCAUAUCAUGGUGGGGAUGAAAAAAAAAAAAAAAGCAGAUUUCUUUGGACAGCAAUCAUCCAUCAGCUUCUGAUGUUAAACCAAAUAGAAAGUACAUGAAGAGUGUAUCUCUACCAACAAGAUCCAUCAAGGUGAUGCUGGGGGACUUGAAGAGAAAAAUAUCUUCGUCAGUAUCAUUAGUACUGCAAACACACUGGAUACAGCAGCUGAAACCAAAACCUCAAGCAUUGUGUAACCACAUAAUAAAAGGCACUUCUUGAUCUUAUUUUUGUGUUUGAAGUAUAUACAUCAGACCGAAAGGAGAGGGAAGAGGAAUACCAGAAUGGGACUGAAAAGUCUGGCAGGAGGGGCUAGGCACCUGACCCAGUAUAGCUGAGGAGGGAGGCUGUACCAGAGGCAGGAACUGCUCCCCCGGAAUCUUAGCUAGCACUUCUAUAGCAUUCUCUUCAGUGAAAGAAGAAGAUAAAUAAAAUGGUUGAUGGGUUUAUCUUGUUUCAAUAAAGCAUUUGACUCUGUAUCAAUUUGAAGUUUGAGUCUUGUCUUAUUCUAUCUGCGUGAGUUCGUCUGUCUCAUAUCCUGGUUUUACUUUGUUAUGCAUUUUAGCCUUUUGGUCUGUUUCAUGCUAGGUAGUAAAUUCUGUCUCUUUUUAACAGUUGAAAUGUCAGGAUGUGAUUGUUUUCAGUGUGCAAGAUGAAAUCUGUGAAAUGCUGCAUUUCUUUUUCAGUGAGCUCUGAAAAGGAGCCAAACAUGGUUUUCUUGUUUAUAGAGCAAAGGACUGGAAUUGACCUUCAGGGUCACAGAAUCCAGUGCAGUGAGUUCAGGCCAGUGCGCAAGCACUACAUCUUAUAAUCUCUUUCACAUGCUCACAGACUUGUUUUGUGGCGUGGGUUGUUGGGUUUAUUUUGGGGAGGGGAUUUUUUUUUUUUUUUUUUUUUUUUGGCUGAGUUUGAGCACUUAACUGCAAACAGACACUAGAUUAGGAAACUAGAUUUUGUUCUUUGGUGGAGACUGAAUCCUGAAAGCCCUCGAGCAGAAAGGAUCUUACAGGAUCAGUCAUAUUUCAGGGUGGUGAUGUGCUGUGGGGGUGCUGUUACUGGGUUAUGCCUGGCACCUUGGGAGAUGCAAUGUAGUCCUGUGGCCAUUGCAUUGACUUGUCCCAGUGAUGCUGCCCGCCUUAACUUUCUGCAUCCUAGUUUCCCCAUCAGUACUCAAAGGACAGCAACUGCAAAGUGCCUUAAAAUCUGCUGAUGAACAGCUUUAUACAUGAGUUGUGCUCUGUAUGGGACAGGCCAGAGCAGUCCUGUUACUUGUGAUUAUUUUACGUAAAUAAUCUUGAUCCUAUCUUACUUUUUUAUGAUCAUCAAUUUAAGUUGAAAAGGUCACUCCUUUCCCUAAUAGUUCAAGUUCUGUUUUUUGUUGUUUUUUUUUUUUUCCAUAGCUUUU